UAGGGAAUCUUCGGCAAUGGACGAAAGUCUGACCGAGCAACGCCGCGCGAGUGAAGAAGGUUUUCGGAUCGUAAAACUCUGUUGUUAGAGAAGAACAAGGACGUUAGUAACUGAACGUCCCCUGACGGUAUCUAACCAGAAAGCCACGGCUAACUACGUGCCAGCAGCCGCGGUAAUACGUAGGUGGCAAGCGUUGUCCGGAUUUAUUGGGCGUAAAGCGAGCGCAGGCGGUUUCUUAAGUGUGAUGUGAAAGCCCCCGGCACAACCGGGGAGGGUCAUUUGAAACUGGGGGACGUGAGUGCAGGAGAGGAGAGUGGAAUUCCAUGUGGAGCGGUGAAAUGCGUAGAUGUAUGGAGGAACACCAGUGGCGAGGGCGGCUCUCUGGUCUGUAACUGGCGCUGAGGCUCGAAAGCGUGGGGAGCAAACAAG
rnacentral:rRNA from 1 species